GAUGAAGAACGCAGCGAAAUGCGAUACGUAGUGUGAAUUGCAGAAUUCCGUGAACCAUCAAAUCUUUGAACGCAUAUUGCGCUCGAGGCUUCGGCCGAGAGCAUGUCUGCCUCAGCGUCGGUAUUACCCCUCGCUUCUCAACCCCUGGUUGAUGCCUGCCUGCCUUUGCAGUUGGCUAGAAGCGGAUCUGGCUUUCCCAAUUGCCUUUGGUAGUUGGGUCAGCUGAAGCACAGAGGCUUGAGCAAGGACCCUUAUUGGGCUUCAACUGGAUAGGUAGAACUGGUCUUAGGACCAACUACACGAAGUUGUUGCUUGUGGUCUUUUGUCUGGAGGCCAGCAGGAAACCUUUAUACCUUCGACCUGAGCUCAGUCAAGAUUACCCGCUGAACUUAAGCAUAUCAAUAAGCGGAGGA
rnacentral:misc_RNA from 1 species